CGCCGCCAUCUCGGCACCGACCGCCGGGCCGGGCCGCCGUCCCCGCAUUCCCCGCUCCCCGCUGUGUUCCUCGGGCCCCGCCGCAUUCCCCGCUCCCCGCCAUGAGCUGGGACGGCGCCGGCGAGGAAGUCCGGCUCCUCCUGGACCUAUGCCUUCAGUGUUUGACAAAGAACCUGUCCAGAUACUCUGCAGAUAUUAAGCCCUUGCCACCCAAUAUAAAGGAUAAACUGAUUAAAUUAAUGAGUAGGCAAGGGCAAAUAACUGAUGCAAAUAUCAGUGAGGUAUUGCACCCUGCUGUGGAGUCUCUGGACCUCCGAGACUGUGAUAUUUCAGAUAAUGCAUUAUUGCAGCUUUAUAACUGCAAGCAGCUGAAAAAAAUCAACUUAAAUUCUUGCAAGGAGAACAGAUUUGGAAUUACUUCAGAAGGAGUCAUAGCACUGGCCUUGUCCUGUCCUUACCUGCGUGAAGCGUCUUUCAAAAGGUGCUGUGAUAUAACUGACAGUGGAAUUCUGGCUCUUGCACUCAACUGCCAAUUCCUUCAAAUAGUGAACUUGGGGAGCUGCUCAGGCAUCAUGGAUGCAUCUCUGCAGGCACUAGGAGAAAACUGCAAAUUUCUUCACAGUGUGGACUUCUCAUCUACUCAGGUAACAGAUGAUGGUGUUGUAGCACUAGUGAGUGGAACAUGUUCGAAGAAUUUAAAGGAGAUACACAUGGAGCGCUGUGUGAACCUGACAGACGUGGCUGUGGAAGCUGUCCUUACCUGUUGUCCCAAGAUACACAUUUUUCUGUUCCAUGGCUGCCCACUGAUAACAGAUCGUUCCCGAGAUGCUUUAGAGCAACUCAUCAUAUCAAACAAAAUCAAGCAACUAACUUGGACUGUUUACUGAUGAUUUAUGCUGUACAUGUGAGUGUCAAGUUUACAGGUGGGAGAGCUCCUUCAGCAAACAUGCACCUUGGAGAGCUAGCUGGUGACUUUUGUGCCACCAGGUUGCAUCCCUCCUGCUUCCCACUGGAGGUCUCCGUUGCCAUUCCAGUCCUUGCUUGUGAGCCUCGGCUUCCCCAUUGUAUCUCCUUUGAGUCCUGUUUGUCUUUGCAUUGAUCAUAUUUCAUUAAGAGGAAAGUUAAACUAUAAUUAAUAUUACAGGGCCGUUGCUCAGGCUUCAAGAAGUGCUGGAUUUGGCUGCUAUUUAGUAUCCUUUAGCAAUUCAGCAAUUUGUACAAACCCAGUUUAGGUAAGUCUGUGUUUGGAGUUCUGUAUUCUGGGAUGGUACUUGCCGCUAAAAGUACUGAGCCCAAACAUAACAUUGACACACAGAAAUGUCUGUAAAGUUGGGAGUUUAACAAAAAUCAACAGACAGAACUGGUGAAUGGAGGUGGCCUUAACAGCAGUACAAAUAUACUUUCAAUUGUAACAAAGACUCUCCUUUCACCAUGUACUUUUGCUAGGUCUGAAAUAAAAAAUGUAGGUACCUUUCUUCUGAUGUUACUGAUGAUGAUGCUGAAGAUUUCUGUUCUUAUUUACAAUCAAAUACUUGCUGGAUUUUUACACAUCCAAAACUACAGCCUGUGAAUGUGUAAACAUAAACUUGCUUGGAACUGUUAUGGUGACUUUACAAAUUCCAGAGUAGUAGCUGUGACCAAGAAAAGGAUUUUAUAUAUGGGAAAAUAUUUCAUUUGCUCUGUAUUUUGCCUGUGUUUCUACAGGAAAAUCCUUUUAGGGAACAAAACAUUGGUACUCAUAAGUGUAUCUGUGAGUGAAAUAGGACCAAAUGUAGUGUCUGGGAACAUAAAUCACAGGAUGGUAGAGGAUGAGUUCUGCUGUAUGCAGUUCAUUAUACAUGCAAGGGCCCCCAAAAGGUGAAAAUACCAAAAAAUUUAUUGUUCAAGUAUAGUCAUAUUAAAAAUUAAUUUUUGAAUUGUAGAAUGAGUUUAUUACAUGAUUGAGCAGUGCUGUUAACACAAUUACCAGUCAUGUUCCUUGGCUUUCUUGAACCAGCAUACCCUCUAGUGAGAACUCUAUGAUUUCUGCUUUAAGCUCCUUAAUGCAAGCCAUUUUAGCUUUAUCAGGGCAUGGAACACACUGGGUUCAUCCUCUAGAUCUGGAAGUAGAAGGGUUUAGUUAUGGUGGUCUAACAUGGAUUUGAUGACAUCUGGAAACCUAAAGAGUUUAGGCAGCCAUAAGGAACAUGUUUACUUUACCAUUUAACUCUUGUCAUAGCUACACCUAAGUGUUGCAUAAAUAAACCAGUCUUGUAUUAAUCUAUUAAAAGUUCAGGUCUAAUUGCAUGGAACGUAUUUUUUGUUGCCAAUAUUAAAGAAUAUUAUGAUGUUUGACAACAAUCUUUGUUUUGUUGAUUAUAUGGUUUAUGAAAGUGCAAGUCUAUUUAGAAAAGUUGUUCAGGUGUAACUAAAAGCAUAUUUUUCCAAGAGCAGCACAUAAAUCCCUUAUUCUUGUUGCAUGGCUCAGCUCAGUGAUGUGUUCCUAUGAUCCCUGUGGGUGUAACUGCACCAGUACAAACCAUUGGUGCAAGAAGUUGAUUUUGCUACAGUAGCCACAAGCCUCUGACAGUUGUCAUUGCAGCAAAUCCUUGUGCCAGAUAGAGGCCUAAUACUCUAAUUACCAGGUUUUAUUUCCCCUUUGUUUUUUGGGGUUUUUUUCUAAAGAUUAUCUUAUUGUUAAGCCCUGUGGAAUCUCUGGCAUCAGUCAGGGCCCACCAUUCGUUUGAACUCUUGGACAAAUUUGUGUUGCACUAUAUUUGAUAUUGAAUUGUGUAGCUGUUUAGGCAGCUCUGUGAAGCAAUGCUAAUGCUAACCUCAGUGUCAAAGUUAUCCUUUUUCUCCUUGCUGAUAUAACCUUGGAUUUGUCAUGUUGAAGGCAGAUGCAGCUUAUAUUGUGUCCUUAAGUGUGCCUGUAGAUUUACCAUCCUCCCCUACAGCCUCUUGUCAAUGUGUAACUUGGUGCUUAAAAGCUGUACAAGGUAACACUGUAUUUUUAGGUUUGAAAGUUUAAUGUAAGUAAUUUUAAAUCUUUCACCAUUAGAGCUUGAGUCUGCCUUUAUGUCUUUAGUAUUUGCAUAACUCUACUGGAAUGUUUUUUGGUUCAUAGUAAUUUUCAACAAAUGUUUACAGGCACUGGGUGAAGUGGGAGAAGAACCUCAUGGAUGUGCUUACCACUUCAUGUUCUCUAUUGUUUGGAUAUUGUUAUUGUUGUGAGCCUUGCAGAAUAUUCACAUAUUGUUCUGAAGAUUAAAGUUUAGAAGUUGGGUGUUCGGAGAGUUCUGAAAACUUGUUGGAUUAUAGAACCAUGUACAUCUGACUGUGCUCCUAAACCUUCAUGGAUACCAUGAUUUUCUGAUGGUUUUCACAAACCAGCAGAAUGAUGCAUGAAGAAAACUUUCAUCCCAGCCCCAACAAUUUUUCACAGCAGAAGAAUCAUGGACAACUUCAUCUAAUAGCUAUUGCAGGUUGUCCUUAAAACUAGACAAAGGGACAACAGGAAGAAAAUGGUGAAAAAGUCUUAAUGCUUUGUAAUUCAUUAGGUCAGUAUUUCUAUAUUUGUCUGAAUAAAUAAAAAAAUCAUGUGUGUUUAGCAGUA